rnacentral:rRNA from 3 species
UCGCCGCCGGUGUUGUUGUGAGAAGUUCAUUAAACCUUAUCAUUUAGAGGAAGGAGAAGUCGUAACAAGGUUUCCGUAGGUGAACCUGCGGAAGGAUCAUUG